rnacentral:rRNA from 1 species
GGAGCCGGUGUCCCGUCGUACGUUUUGAAAAACGAACCAGGGAGUGUGUUUGGUUGGCGAGUCUAACAUGAGUAUCAUGGAAGGCGCAGGGAAACCGAUACGGCCGCAGCACUAUGUGUGAGGGCCACCGUGUUCAAGCGCGGGGAGUCAACCGUACACGACCCGAAACCGAGUGAUCUACACGAGGGCAAGGUGAAGCGUACCGAAAGGCACGUGGAGGCCUGUUAGAGUUGGUGUCCUACAAUACCCUCUCGUGACCUUCGUGUAGGGGUGAAAGGCCCAUCGAACUCGGCAACAGCUGGUUCCGACCGAAACAUGUCGAAGCAUGACCUUCGCCGAGGUAGUUCGUGAGGUAGAGCGACCGAUUGGGAGACCCGCCUCCGAGAGGAGUCGGCCUCCCUGUCGAACUCCGAACUUACGAACGCCGCCGACGCGAGGAAUCCGGUACUCCGGGGUAAGCUUGGGUACCGUGAAGGAGACAACCUAGAGUCUGGUUAAGGACCCCAAAUGUGGAUUAAGUGCGAUUGAAGGUGGUCUCGAGCCCUAAACAGCCGGGAGGUGAGCUUAGAAGCAGCUACCCUCUAAGAAAAGCGUAACAGCUUACCGGCCGAGGUUCGAGGCGCCGAAAAUGAUCGGGGCUCAAAUCCACUUCCGAGACCUGACCGUACCCGUCACAGGGUAAUCGAGUAGGUCGGCAUUCUGCGCGGGUGGAAGCAUGGGCGAGAGUUCAUGUGGACCACGCAGUAACGAAAAUCCUGGUCACAGUAGCAGCGAAAGUCGGGUGAGUAACCCCGACGGCCUGAAGAGUAAGGGUUCCUCGGCACUGCCAAUCAGCCGAGGGUUAGUCGAUCCUAAGUCCUAUCGUAAUUCGAGUAGGACAAAAGGGUAACUGGUUAAUAUUCCAGUACUAUCACCACUCAAAGUCAACACUUUGGGAAACACCGAACCGGGCAUUCGCCCGGUCGAACCGGAGAAAUUCGUGGAAGCCGUAAUGGCACGAAGCGAACGAA